CACACUGUAAACGAUGGAUACUAGGUGUGGGCACUAACGUGUCCGUGCCGGCGCAAACGCAAUAAGUAUCCCACCUGGGGAGUACGACCGCAAGGUUGAAACUCAAAGAAAUUGACGGGGGCCCGCACAAGCAGUGGAGUAUGUGGUUUAAUUCGACGCAACGCGAAGAACCUUACCAAGGCUUGACAUACAACUGAAUAUGUAAGAGAUUACAUAGUCCUUCGGGACAGUUGAACAGGUGA
rnacentral:rRNA from 1 species